rnacentral:rRNA from 1 species
GCAUAUCAAUAAGCGGAGGAAAAGAAACCAACAGGGAUUGCCCUAGUAACGGCGAGUGAAGCGGCAACAGCUCAAAUUUGAAAUCUGGCGUCUUUGGCGUCCGAGUUGUAAUUUGCAGAGGGCGCUUUGGCAUUGGCAGCGGUCCAAGUUCCUUGGAACAGGACGUCACAGAGGGUGAGAAUCCCGUACGUGGUCGCUAGCCUUUACCGUGUAAAGCCCCUUCGACGAGUCGAGUUGUUUGGGAAUGCAGCUCUAAAUGGGAGGUAAAUUUCUUCUAAAGCUAAAUACUGGCCAGAGACCGAUAGCGCACAAGUAGAGUGAUCGAAAGAUGAAAAGCACUUUGGAAAGAGAGUUAAAAAGCACGUGAAAUUGUUGAAAGGGAAGCGCUUGCAGCCAGACUUGCCUGUAGUUGCUCAUCCGGGUUUCUACCCGGUGCACUCUUCUAUAGGCAGGCCAGCAUCAGUUUGGGCGGUUAGAUAAAGGUCUCUGUCAUGUACCUCCUUUCGGGGAGAACUUAUAGGGGAGACGACAUGUAACCAGCCUGGACUGAGGUCCGCGCAUCUGCUAG